AUACCACUCUAAUAUCAUGACCAAGAACUCCCUUCGAGCCCGUGACAACCGCCGCGAUGUCUCGAUAGACAUUCAUUGCUCGGAAUGCCAACCGGAACCUCUCAAGGCUUUAAUAUCAGUUUUUGCACCUCCCCUGCGAGCAACAGUUGUUAAGUAUCAUGUUUUGAGAGAUUAUAAACUAUUUUCAAAUCAAAACAAUAGAAAAAUAACUUUUUUCUCAUAGGGGCAUUUUGGUCAUUUUUCCUCAAAAAUCUCGAAACCAAUUAAAAAUGUCGUAUGCAAGUGGAAAACACAUAUUUGAUAAUCAAAAAUAAGUUUAGAUAUCUAAAACAUUCAUUUAAAGUGAAAUUAUAACUAUUUGAAUAUAAUAAAAAUAUUUAAUAAAAUAUUCUAUUUUCUUAUAAAACAAUAUUUAUAGAGUUACCGGUAAAUAAUUUUUGUAGUGUAACAGUUAAAUAAAUUCAUACAUACUAUAAUACAGAUAACCAAAGCAUAAAAUUUAAUUUACAGUGACACGUGGGCCCACGAACGAUCAAAAGUAUCAAAAGCGGUAAACCUACAGUUUUUGAGGAUGCAAGUCCAACUAUAGCCCUCAAUAAAGUAAGCUAUCUACCGACUCUCCUAAGCCUGAAACGGGUGGAAAUGAGGGUGGUGAUAUUAUAUAAUCCCAGUGAGUAAACAAAUACCAUCUGAAAUAUCUAAAGCUGAGUAAAUGGAGACAGAUAAAAUAGUUUAACAUAUUGUAAUUCAUCACCUUUCAAUUCAUUUCAACCAAAUAAAAUCAAUUCAUAUAAAUCAAGUAAUCAACAUGGCUUAUGAAUUUCUUAAAACUUUGGCUCGUGCCAAAAUCAUUCUCAUACUCAGUUAUCAAAGAUACCUUGACCGAGGACUAUCCCAACCGAGUCCGCCAAGGCUAAUAAAAAGUUAUGUCUGCAUAAAUCAUGUUUUUAUUUUGAAAACAUAGUCGUUCCUUGGCGUUGGCUGAGUUCACCCUCACGUGGUGGUUUGGCGUGAAGUGAACUCUAAAGUGUUAACCUCAAGAGUUAUCCAUCCGCGCCUCUCACACUGAGGUAUGAAUAUAAUAGGGUUACCGUACCCCCUCUAAUAGGCUGGUCCACAGAACCUGUCCACUACAGCAACUAAUCAAUAACCCACAAAUUCAAUAAAAUUCAACAGCAUGACAUGGCAAUUUUAUCAUUAUCCAGCCUAUCAAGGCAAACAACAGUUUAUACAUUUUCAACAUAAAUACCAAUUCAACCAUUCAUGCCAAUAUUAUCAUAAGCCAUUCAAUUCAAACCAUUAUUUAUAACACAGCAAUUAGUCUCCAAUUACUCCAUUUUCAAAACCAUAUUUCAAUUUCAAGAUAAUUUUAUAAAAUCAUUUCAUUUAAACACAUUUUGUUUAUAAAAUAUAAAGAUUUACUAUUUAAACUCAUUUUCCAUAAAAUUUACAAAAUUGAAUAAAAAACACUUUAGAUAAUUAAGACGAUAGUAAGGUUACUCACUAUUUCGAGAGUCGAAUUCUGAGUACUCCAAUUCUUGAUCCUCGGGUACUAUCUCUUUACUUUUGCCAGAAAGCUCACCAUCUAGACAUAAUGCACAAUAAGCCAUUUACUACAUUUGUGCUAAAUUGUUAUAAAACCAAUUCAGGCUCUAUACUAAUGCAUGAAAUGGGAUGUGAAAUACUCGGGUAACUAUCUAAAUAUGGUGUUCAAUAUAAAUUCAAUUAUAUACCUAAAUAAAAUGGUAUUGACCUAAUUCGAUCUAUCACCCGAUUAAUUGGCCAAUAUGCCCAAUUUAACUCCAAUUAACUCCAUUUUUCUUCCAAUGCUCCAAACCAUCAAACACAAGUCAAAUAGCAUAAAAUUUAGCAAAAUUAUCUUCACAUUUUCUCUUGGGAAUUUCGACCAUGGUGGGUGCAUCAAUACUAUGAUUUUUCCUACUUGAUUUUCUCACCGUAAUUAAUCAUUUCCUAACCAAUUCACUUAAAAUAAAAUCAAAUCCACCAUCCACACUCUACAUGGAAGAUUCGGCCAAUGAUGGGUGAUGGGAGGAAGUGAAUUUUUCUUGCUUGAUUUUCAUACUACACAUCACUAACUAACAAAAAACACUAAAAUACCUUAAAAUCUAACCAAAACAACCAUUAAAUCUCUCUCUAAGUGUUCGGCCAGCAAGAGACCCAUCAUGAAAUCAUGUGAUUCAACCAUGAAAAAUAAAAAAAAAUACUUGAGAAAGAGAGAUCUCAAGCUUAAUUGAAAAAUUCUUACAUUUUUUCACUUAUUUCCUUGAAUUUUCACACUUUUCCCUUGAAUUUUUCCACCUAGGGUUUUGUUCUUCCUUUUCUUCCUUUGUUCUUGC
rnacentral:lncRNA from 1 species